GGAGUUAGCCGGUGCUUCUUCUGCGAGUAACGUCACAGAUGUAAGGUAUUAACUUACACCCUUUCCUCCUCGCUGAAAGUGCUUUACAACCCGAAGGCCUUCUUCACACACGCGGCAUGGCUGCAUCAGGGUUUCCCCCAUUGUGCAAUAUUCCCCACUGCUGCCUCCCGUAGGAGUCUGGGCCGUGUCUCAGUCCCAGUGUGGCUGAUCAUCCUCUCAGACCAGCUAGGGAUCGUCGCCUAGGUGAGCCUUUACCUCACCUACUAGCUAAUCCCACCUGGGCUUAUCCAUCAGCGCAAGGCCCGAAGGUCCCCUGCUUUCCCCCGUAGGGCGUAUGCGGUAUUAGCAGUCGUUUCCAACUGUUAUCCCCCACAAAUGGGCAAAUUCCCAGGCAUUACUCACCCGUCCGCCGCUCGUCAUCUUCAAAAGCAAGCUUUUGAAAUGUUACCGCUCGACUUGCAUGUGUUAGGCCUGCCGCCAGCGUUCAAUCUGAGCCAGAAUCAAAACUCUGA
rnacentral:rRNA from 1 species